rnacentral:lncRNA from 1 species
GGAACCGCAGCCGAGCUCCGCGCCUCGGAAAGAAUAACAGCAGUUGAGAUUUUCAAUCAUGUGGCUCAGCACGCUGCCACACCAGUUCCCCCACUGCUGCCUCCACCUCUCCAAGACCUAAGCCCCACGCCCAACUCCUCCUCCGGACAGACCGACCGAUCCGGGUGUCAAAAGUUGGGAACGCCGCAAGCCCCCGCCGCCCUCCCAAUCAUACUCGCACCUCGGCCCGCGAGCUGCUCGCCCGAGACCCCGCUAACGCGGAACCCGAGACGCUACGCGUUGCCAAGACUCGAGGCCCGGACCAGGCAGUUUGGAAGGCGCAGCCCCCGGAGCGCGCAGUGGCAGAGGGAUGGUCUC